GUUUAUUUUGGGGGCAACUGGUUAGCGCUUCGGACUUGUACCCGGAGGGUUGCCGGUUCGAACCCCGACCAGUAAGCA
rnacentral:tRNA from 1 species